rnacentral:rRNA from 1 species
CCAGACUCCUACGGGAGGCAGCAGUGGGGAAUAUUGCACAAUGGGCGAAAGCCUGAUGCAGCAACGCCGCGUGAGUGAUGAAGGCCUUCGGGUCGUAAAACUCUGUCCUCAAGGAAGAUAAUGACGGUACUUGAGGAGGAAGCCCCGGCUAACUCCGUGCCAGCAGCCGCGGUAAUACGGAGGAUGCGAGCGUUAUCCGGAUUUAUUGGGUUUAAAGGGUGCGUAGGCGGGAUGCCAAGUCAGCGGUCAAAUACGGGGGCUCACCCUGCGUCCGCCGUUGAAACUGGCGUUCUUGAGUGGGCGAGAAGUACGCGGAAUGCGUGGUGUAGCGGUGAAAUGCAUAGAUAUCACGCAGAACCCCGAUUGCGAAGGCAGCGUACCGGCGCCCGACUGACGCUGAAGCACGAAAGCGUGGGUAUCGAACGGGAUUAGAUACCCGUGUA